CGGGUGAGUAACACGUGGAUAACCUACCUAUCAGACUGGGAUAACUUCGGGAAACCGGAGCUAAUACCGGAUAAUAUAUUGAACCGCAUGGUUCAAUAGUGAAAGACGGUUUUGCUGUCACUUAUAGAUGGAUCCGCGCCGCAUUAGCUAGUUGGUAAGGUAACGGCUUACCAAGGCAACGAUGCGUAGCCGACCUGAGAGGGUGAUCGGCCACACUGGAACUGAGACACGGUCCAG
rnacentral:rRNA from 1 species